GACGAACGCUGGCGGCGUGCUUAACACAUGCAAGUCGAACGAAGAGCGAUGGAAGCUUGCUUCUAUCAAUCUUAGUGGCGAACGGGUGAGUAACGCGUAAUCAACCUGCCCUUCAGAGGGGGACAACAGUUGGAAACGACUGCUAAUACCGCAUACGAUCUAACCUCGGCAUCGAGGAUAGAUGAAAGGUGGCCUCUACAUGUAAGCUAUCACUGAAGGAGGGGAUUGCGUCUGAUUAGCUAGUUGGAGGGGUAACGGCCCACCAAGGCGAUGAUCAGUAGCCGGUCUGAGAGGAUGAACGGCCACAUUGGGACUGAGACACGGCCCAGACUCCUACGGGAGGCAGCAGUGGGGAAUCUUCCGCAAUGGACGAAAGUCUGACGGAGCAACGCCGCGUGAGGGAUGACGGCCUUCGGGUCGUAAAGCUCUGUUAAUCGGGACGAAAGGCCUUCUUGCGAAUAGUUAGAAGGAUUGACGGUACCGGAAUAGAAAGCCACGGCUAACUACGUG
rnacentral:rRNA from 1 species